rnacentral:rRNA from 1 species
GACGACCGCUGGCGGCGUGCUUAACACAUGCAAGUCGAACGGAAAGGCCCUGCUUUUGUGGGGUGCUCGAGUGGCGAACGGGUGAGUAACACGUGAGUAACCUGCCCUUGACUUUGGGAUAACUUCAGGAAACUGGGGCUAAUACCGGAUAGGAGCUCCUGCUGCAUGGUGGGGGUUGGAAAGUUUCGGCGGUUGGGGAUGGACUCGCGGCUUAUCAGCUUGUUGGUGGGGUAGUGGCCUACCAAGGCUUUGACGGGUAGCCGGCCUGAGAGGGUGACCGGCCACAUUGGGACUGAGAUACGGCCCAGACUCCUACGGGAGGCAGCAGUGGGGAAUAUUGCACAAUGGGCGGAAGCCUGAUGCAGCAACGCCGCGUGCGGGAUGACGGCCUUCGGGUUGUAAACCGCUUUCGCCUGUGACGAAGCGUGAGUGACGGUAAUGGGUAAAGAAGCACCGGCUAACUACGUG